rnacentral:lncRNA from 13 species
AAAAUGCUCAGCCACAGGCAUGGAAAGACACCUCAGAAUGUUAACAGUCAUCACUACUGGGAUAAAAAAUGUACCAGCUCACCACCAAGAACAAGUGAAGAAAAAUAAAUGUGUCCGCCAUUUCUCACACCCCCUGCUUCAGUCUCUCUUCCUGCUAAGGAAAAGUGCAAAAACCUUCUAUAGGCAGUCCACACAUGGUGUUGGUAUCUGCCCAUCUACUGGUGAGUCCUCAAGGAGCCUUUAUUCAUGGCAGAAGGCAAAGUGGGAGCAGGCAUGUCACAUGGCAAGAGUGCAAGCAAGAAGAAGGCCCUACCUCCAACACUGGGAACCACAUUUCAUCAUGAGAUUUGGAGGAGACAAACAUCCAAGCCGUGUCAUACAGAAAAAGAUUUCUAAAAAAUAA